AUGCUGAUACCAAUUUAUAUGGGAUAUGGUUCUGUCUUGGGUGUUGUCCUAUACCUGGCUUACAACGACUUCAUAAAUAAUAUGGGACACUGCAAUUUUGAGUUGCUCCCAAAGUGGAUCUUCCAACGUUUCCCUCCUCUCAAGUAUCUCAUGUACACUCCAUCGUAUCAUUCUCUCCGUCAUACAAAGUUUCGUACAAACUACUCAUUGGCUAUGCCAAUCUUUGACUACAUAUUCAACACCAUGGACAAGUCAACUGACGAGCUGUAUGAGAGAACACUGAUUGGAACAGAGGAAACACCAGAUGUUGUUCACUUGACGCAUAUGACCACCUUGCAAUCGACUUAUCAUCUAAGGGUUGGGAUUGCACCUGUAGCCUCACGGCCCUCAGAUAACCAUGUAUGGUAUAUGUGGAUGAUAUGGCCAAUGGCAUGCCUAUCAAUGGUACUGGCAUGGGUUUAUGGAUCAUCUGCGUUUGUCGUUGAAAGUCUCAAGCUGAAGAAGAUCAUGAUGCAAACAUGGGUGAUACCAAGAUACAACUUCCAGUAUAGCCUGAUUAGGGAGAGGGAAUCCAUCAACAGGUUAAUUGAGCAGGCAAUAUCAGAUGCGGAUGGAAGAGGGGUCAAAGUGCUCAGUCUUGGACUUUUCAAUCAGGAAAGACAACUCAACGGAAGUGGUGAAUUAUUUACACAAAAAUAUCCAAAAUUGAGAGUUCGACUUGUUGACGGAAGUGGCUUAGCAACAGUAGUUGUUCUCAAGAGCACCCCAUUAGAUACAAAGCGGGUGUUUCUCUGUGGAGGCGGUUCUAAGGUAGCACAUGCCACAGCUACAGCUUUAUGCGAGAGAGGUGUCCAGGUAAUCAUGAACCAAAAGAAGGAAUAUGACAUGCUGAAAUUGCGAGUUGCAGAGAGCAGCACUGCCUAUCUGAAAUUCUCCAGUGAUGAGAUACCUCAGAUCUGGAUAGGAGAUAUCAUAGAUGAUAAGCAACAAAUGGGGGCACCAAGAGGAUCAACAUUUAUUCCUACGUCACAGUUUCCCUUUAAGAAGAUACGCAAGGAUUGCACUUACUUGAGUAACCCUGCAAUGAAGAUCCCAGAGGCAAUGCAGAACGUCCAUACCUGUGAGGUGCUAGCAGUAUAUAUAUGUUCUCAUUGCCUUUUUGCGAAAAUAGAUGAUCUCGUUGCCUGA
rnacentral:rRNA from 1 species